ensembl:snRNA U6 U6 spliceosomal RNA
AUGAUCACUUCAGCAGCACAUAAGCUAAAAUUGGAAUGAUACAGAGAAGAUUAGCAUGGCCCUUGCCCAAGGAUGACAUGAAAAUUUGUGAAAUGCUCCACAUUUUU